GACAGAGGUGCCGAGCGUUUAGGCGGAAUCACUGGGCUUAAAGCGUGUGUAGGCGGGUCGUUUAAGUGUCUUGUGAAAUCCCCCGGCUCAACCGGGGAAUGGCUGGGCAUACUGGCGAGUCUUGAGCAGUCUAGGGGCAGAUGGAACAAGUGGUGGAGCGGUGAAAUGCGUAGAUAUGAUGGAGGAACACCGGUGGGCGAAGGCGGGUCUCUGGGCCGAUGACUGACGCUGAGGAGCGAAAGCGUGGGGAGCAAACGGG
rnacentral:rRNA from 1 species